rnacentral:rRNA from 1 species
AACGUAAACAAACCUAGCCUUAAGGAUGGGGAUAACAGACGGAAACGACUGCUAAUACCGAAUACGUUCUAAGCAUCGCAUGAUGCAUAGAAGAAAGGGUGGCCUCUACAAGAAAGCUAUCGCCUUAAGAGGGGUUUGCGACUGAUUAGGUAGUUGGUGAGGUAACGGCUCACCAAGCCGACGAUCAGUAGCCGGUCUGAGAGGGUGACCGGCCACAUUGGGACUGAGACACGGCCCAA